GACGGGAUAGUUCAGUUGGUUAGAACGGUAGAAUCAUACUCUACAUGUCGGGGGUUCAAAUCCCUCUCUCGUUA
rnacentral:tRNA from 1 species